UACGUAGGGUGCAAGCGUUAAUCGGAAUUACUGGGCGUAAAGCGUGCGCAGGCGGUUCUGUAAGACAGAUGUGAAAUCCCCGGGCUCAACUUGGGAAUUGCAUUUGUGACUGCAGGACUAGAGUUCAUCAGAGGGGGGUGGAAUUCCAAGUGUAGCAGUGAAAUGCGUAGAUAUUUGGAAGAACACCAAUGGCGAAGGCAGCCCCCUGGGAUGCGACUGACGCUCAUGCACGAAAGCGUGGGGAGCAAACAGG
rnacentral:rRNA from 1 species